rnacentral:lncRNA from 1 species
CGUCCGCGUGCAAACCGUGUAUAUUUGAUAUUAGGUUAGUAGGGAGGCGGGGCUUAUCUCAUACACGGUUAGUAGUGGAGUUACUUCCCUUUAUAUACCUUAUUAGGUAAGAAGGGGGCGGAGCUUAUUUCAUACACGGUUAGUAAUGGUGUUAUGUCCCUUUAUAAAAAACAAAACGGUACUGAGAAAAAAUCUUAAAAGAUCCAACAGACGAAGAAAUUGAUGACUAAGAUUGAAACAAAUUCAUAAAACACAUUUAAACCUUACAAGUCGUUAUUG